CGCGGGGUGGAGCAGCUCGGUAGCUCGCUGGGCUCAUAACCCAGAGGUCGCAGGUUCAAAUCCUGUCCCCGCU
rnacentral:tRNA from 1 species